AAGAAGGAGAAGAAGGAGAAGAAGAAGGAGAAGAAGGAGAAGGAGAAGAAGAAGAAGACUGCACGCAUGCACAAUUGAAGCUGCUCCGUGAGACAAAGAAGGACGAAGGCUAACUUCUUCCACAAUCCCGAUUUUAAAGCAAUUUGGUGCGCCAUCCAUUUAUCACAAGUUGGCUGUUAUAAAGUUUCCAAACUGACCAAAGACCAACGAAUGACUUCUAAAGAAGGGUGGAUUUAUUUGUAGUUUAGUUAAACAAUAAUUUGCCCCGUCAGUGAUAAGGUUUGAAUGCUGCCUGAACGUUACAAAUGUGGCAGACACGGUGAGGACAAUGCUGAGGAAAAUGGCCACAAACAAAGUCCUGGAGCAGCUUGGCCUCCGUGGAAAGUCAGGAAAAGUGGCGUUUGAGGACUUGCCCCUUUACAGAAUAAUAAAUAAGCAUGCAGGAUGUUUACCAGCAGAAGCUGAAGUGGAUUGUGAGCUUGGAGACGUCCUGAAACUGGCCACUUUUCCAAAGGGAGGUUCAAAAUUUGAGGAGAAGAGGAGGAAUUAAGAGGGAGGACAAAAAAGGAAAAAGAAACAAGCAAAAGAACAGAGUGAGAUGAGAGGAUUUGGGUUUCCCUGCUUGGGCUGCUGCCCCCGCGACCCGACCUCGGAUAAGCAGAAGAAGAUGGAUGGAUGGAUUUACUUCCAGGAAGAGAACCAAGAAGGGGCAGGAUACACUGACGUGCACGACCAAGACCACGGCAUUCCAUUCCAUUCCAUUUAUAAAUGAUAAAUGGGUUAUAUGUCAAAGUGCUUUGAGUACCUUGAAGGUAGAAAAGCGCUAUACAAGUAUAUACUUGUAUAGCGCUUUUCUACCUUCAAGGUACUCAAAGCGCUUUGACACUAUUUCCAC